rnacentral:rRNA from 1 species
GCAUAACCGGCGAACGGGUGCGUAACACGUGAGCGACCUUCCGUCUUCUGGGGGAUAGCCGGCCCAACGGCCGGGUAAUACCGCAUACGCUCCUUUGGCCGCAUGGCUGGGGGAGGAAACUUCCGGGGGAGGACGAGGGGCUCGCGGCCUAUCAGCUAGUUGGGGGGGUAACGGCCUCCCAAGGCGACGACGGGUAGCUGGUCUGAGAGGAUGGCCAGCCACAUUGGGACUGAGAGACGGCCCAG